UACGGGGGGGGCAAGCGUUGUUCGGAAUUACUGGGCGUAAAGGGCUCGUAGGUGGCCAACUAAGUCAGACGUGAAAUCCCUCGGCUUAACCGGGGAACUGCGUCUGAUACUGGAUGGCUUGAGAUUGGGAGAGGGAUGCGGAAUUCCAGGUGUAGCGGUGAAAUGCGUAGAUAUCCGGAGGAACACCGGUGGCGAAGGCGGCUAUCUGGGCUGAAACUGACGCUGAGGCGCGAAGGCUAGGGGAGCAAACAGG
rnacentral:rRNA from 1 species